rnacentral:rRNA from 1 species
UACGGAGGGUGCAAGCGUUGUUCGGAAUCAUUGGGCGUAAAGCGCGUGUAGGCGGCUUGGCAAGUCGGUUGUGAAAGCCCGGGGCCCAACCCCGGAAUUGCAUCUGAAACUGCCUCGCUAGAGUCCCGGAGAGGAAGGCAGAAUUCCCGGUGUAGGGGUGAAAUCCGUAGAUAUCGGGAGGAAUACCAGCGGCGAAGGCGGCCUUCUGGACGGUGACUGACGCUGAGGCGCGAAAGCUAGGGGAGCGAACGGG